rnacentral:lncRNA from 1 species
ACAACACACAACAUUCCAGGAAUGUACUACCAAAGUUCUAUCAAUAUUUGAAUGUCCUGGACAUUUAGGGAACAUUCGGUGAACAUCUGUUUAAAUUAUUCCUGGAAUGUUACCAUAAGACAUUCUGUGAACAUACUACCAAUGUUCCUAUAUUUUAAGUUGCGAAAUAAUACAUACGUGUAAGAGAUACAACAUUACUUAUAACAUACCAGACAAACUAAGUGACAUUUUAGGCCUACAGUGCAAUAAUAUGUCAAAUUUAAAGAGUUUCCCAAGAUUAUAAACAUACAAAUGUAAUAAAAAUUAUUGUUCGCGAAUAUUCAAUUUGGAAUGCGAUUUUGUUAAUAAAAAAAUACUUAUAACUUAUGCAAAACCCAAGAGAGGCAUUUAUAUUUAUUUCUUUUGCGUUCAUUUUCAAAUUCGCCGUGCAUAUAUUUUUGUGCAUGGCGCUUGAGAGGGCAUCACGUGACUAAAAACGACCAACCAACGACCUCGCUUCGGCCAUCUUGGCAUCUUCAUCUUGGCGACCUUGCCUUGCCGUGGAUUGUUUUUAGUUGCUUGUAUUAUUUGUGCUUUUUAAGAAUAUUUUUUUAAUUCGGAUACUUUUAUAAUAGCUUUAAUAGUAUUAUUAACAUAGUGCAUAAAAUGGUGUCCUGUUUUUAACGCAGUUGGAGUAGCAGAAACAAAUGUAGAUAAAAAAAUCUGCAGGAAUAACAUUUCAAUUAUGACAGAAGCUCAAAACAAAUGACUGUGAAUGAAAAGCCCUAUUAAAAGCUUUCCAGAAGAUCCUGCGAAGAAGACAUGAAGUAUAGAUCAGAUUUGUUAAUAGAGGAGUAUGUUCAAAACACUUUUUAGAAAAAGAUAUUGACAGAACUUCACUUUCAUCUGUUCGUUUGAGAGACUGUGCUGUUCCAAUAGCUUAUGUCACACAGAAUCAGCUGAGAGAAGUGGUCUACAAAAAACCAGAAAGGAAACGGAAUAUGUGGCUACGAAAAGCAAAAGAAAGGUUUACAAAGCAAAUGUGACACAUUUUUUUAUAAUAUUUAGGAAUGUCAGCAAAUUACAUUAAAAAAUGUAUGUAAAGAUUUUUUGCAAUAAAAAUGUUUAUAUUUA